CAAUAUUAGCAGGAUYGUGACAAAACCAAAGGCUGCUUUGCUGGGUGCUGGUACCUACUGCCUUGCAGUGAGACAGCAAUUUUUUCCUGCGUGACAGAAGAUGGGAUUUCAUCCAGCACCUGAAAAGGAGGUGAGCGCUAGCUACUCUGCAUCUCCCCUCCCUUUGAGUCACUGAAGAACGAAGAACGUCAGAGGACUGCUGUGACCACGGGGCCUCUUGGGCAGUGGCAUCUUGGCUGAGGAACCAGACUCUCAYGGGGGGACUACAGCUCCCAUAGGGCACUGCAGCUGCCUGUCUGAACCAAAACGCACAGGUUUGAGCUGAGAAUGGUUUUCGGCUUCUGAUGGCAAACCAGAAUCGUUUAUGCAUCCGUCAACUAGUAAGUCCCUCUGUAUGUGGGAUGUUCACCGUGGGACCUGGGGUGUUUGCGCUGGGGAAGAGAGACCCGAGUUCUCAAGCGGCAGCUACGCAACCAGGAUACUCGCGGAGGAGGGAAUUCUUCUCCCCACUGCUAUGCAAGCACUCUCCAACGUCAGCAUUUCGGCUGGGAGAGGGAACUUCAGGCAAAUUCUCACACACAAACACGCACCCUCAAAGCAAAACACACAAAUUGCC
rnacentral:lncRNA from 1 species